GACGAACGCUGGCGGCGUGCCUAACACAUGCAAGUCGAACGGAAAGGCCCUGCUUUUGUGGGGUGCUCGAGUGGCGAACGGGUGAGUAACACGUGAGUAACCUGCCCUUGACUUUGGGAUAACCUCAGGAAACUGGGGCUAAUACCGGCUAGGAGCUCCUGCUGCAUGGUGGGGGUUGGAAAGUUUCGGCGGUUGGGGAUGGACUCGCGGCUUAUCAGCUUGUUGGUGGGGUAGUGGCUUACCAAGGCUUUGACGGGUAGCCGGCCUGAGAGGGUGACCGGCCACGUUGGGACUGAGAUACGGCACAGACUCGAACGGGAGGCAGCGGUGGAGAAUAUUGCACAGUGGGCGGAAGCCUGAUGCGACAACGCCGCGUGCGGGAUGACGGCCUUCGGGUUGUGAACCGCUUUCGCCUGUGACGAAGCGUGAGUGACGGUAACGGGUAAAGAAGCACCGGCUAACUACGUG
rnacentral:rRNA from 1 species